rnacentral:lncRNA from 1 species
AGGCGACUGCUCCCGCGAGGUCAGAGCCGGGCUGUGCCGCUGCCCCCGGGACUAGAAAGGGAAAUCUCCUUGCUAGAGGAGGAAGCCCUAAGAACUCAAGGGAGAUAGGGGUGGCAGGGGCAUUUCCCUGGAUGCCUGGAGCAUGGAGGGUGCGAAAUAAGGAGGCUUUCCUACCCCAUUGAUGAGCUGAAGUUGAUUCCGCACGGGGGAGGAAAGGGACAGGAAGCAUAAUUGGAUGUGCAAGCCUGUGGUUCUUCAGGAAGUUAACACGUGGAACUAACACUGUUGGAUGCUGCUGAACUCUCAGGUGAUUGAUGUGACUAACCUCCUCAGAAAAAUCAUCAUUGACAUCCAACACCAGCACUGGAAUGUUCAUCAGAGCCUCAAAGUGGAGCCUAUAAGAAGCGUGAACGUUUGGGGGACAGAAAAAAAGAAAUGUAACUUGAGUCAAGUUUCACAUACUCGCCAAGUCUUACUCAGAGAACAGAUCUAAAUUCAACAUGACUUUUCAAAGAAACUGCAUGUAAACUGCAUUUAAAAAAACAAAUUCAAUAAAGUUGGCCGGAAACAG